AACGAACGCUGGCGGCAUGCCUAACACAUGCAAGUCGAACGAGACCUUCGGGUCUAGUGGCGCACGGAUGCGUAACGCGUGGGAACCUGCCCUUAGGUUCGGAAUAACUCCCCGAAAGGGGUGCUAAUACCGGAUAAUGUCUUCGGACCAAAGAUUUAUCGCCUUUGGAUGGGCCCGCGUUGGAUUAGCUAGUUGGUAGGGUAAAAGCCUACCAAGGCGACGAUCCAUAGCUGGUCUGAGAGGAUGAUCAGCCACACUGGGACUGAGACACGGCCCAGACUCCUACGGGAGGCAGCAGUGGGGAAUAUUGGACAAUGGGCGAAAGCCUGAUCCAGCAAUGCCGCGUGAGUGAUGAAGGCCUUAGGGUUGUAAAGCUCUUUUACCCGGGAUGAUAAUGACGGUACCGGGAGAAUAAGCUCCGGCUAACUCCGUG
rnacentral:rRNA from 1 species